UCCCUGGUGGCUCAGAUGGUAAAGAAUCUGCCUGCAAUGCAGGAAACCCGGGUUCAAUCCCUGGAGUGGGAA
rnacentral:tRNA from 1 species